AAAGGAGAAAACCCAGGUACAAAUGAACAAUAGCAAAAACCAGAAAAACCGGGCGCCAUAAAACUGCACAUUGGCUUUGUCCUUUUUGCUUUGUGGACAACAAACCUUCCCAGAAAAUAAUUGCAAUGACUUUAUAAUGAUAGCGUCAUAGAAACACGAAGAAACUUUGCGCUCUCAAAUCAAAUAAAACGGCCAACUAUCCCCUAGACGAUUCCUGACAUGAAAUACGAAAUUGAAGUUGACACAACAGUGAUGAGCUUAAAAUCUGGCUCGACACAAGGCUAGCUACGGAUUGUUAAGAUCAAGGCGCAAGGCGUUUUUAAUAAGGUGGCCGCUUCUGCGAAUUGAUACAACAAAGCAUCUUUUUUGGGAACUUGAU